CCAAUGACUGCAAUGUACUUCCCAUUUCUCCUUUUUAUGCACGGAAAUUUUUAUUAUAAUUGCCUUGUUGCCAUCUCACUGUCAUAGUUAUGUAUAUGGGGGAAGGGAGCAAAUAAACUUGUCUGCUUUGUCCACAGAUUUUUGGAGUAAGAGGAGUCAUAUGCAAAAAGCUGUACCCAAGGGAUGUCAUCCACUGCUGGACCAGAUGCAUUUCGUGAGAUGCUUGACUCUGAGUCCAAUUUUUGACAGCCUUGGAAGAAGGAGGAGAGAAAGACCAGUCUCUCUUUGGAAAAUACCAUCUUAAAAAAACUUGGAAACAACAGAUUUCUAGACUGGGCUGAAGGAGGAACCUGAGAACUGCCAGGUGAGACCUGACCAUCAGCUUCAGGGGGAAGGAACCUGGUUUAUCAAACUCACUGCUACGUCUAAGUGCAACCAGCAACACAAGUCUACUAUUAGCUGGAAAUAAUAAACUGCUCAAUGAAACCA
rnacentral:lncRNA from 1 species